rnacentral:tRNA from 1 species
GCUACUGUGAUGAAAUGGAAUACAUGGUAGACUCAAAAUCUACUGUCAGAAAUGACGUGUGGGUUCAAAUCCCACCAGUAGCA